GUCGAACGCUGGCGGCGUGCCUAAUACAUGCAAGUCGAACGCAGUGGGGACGGGUGAGUAACACGUGGGUAACCUCCCAUCAGAGGGGAUAACCCUUGGAAACAGGUGCUAAACCGCUACUGAUGGAUGGACCCGGGGUGCAUUAGCUAGUUGGUGAGGGAACGGCUCACCAAGGCCACGAGGCAUAGCCGACCUGAGAGGGUGACCGGCCACACUGGGACUGAGACACGGCCCAGACUCCUACGGGAGGCAGCAGUGGGGAAGCUUCGGCAAUGGACGAAAGUCUGACCGAGCAACGCCGCGUGAAUGAAGAAGGUUUUCGGAUCGUAAAGCUCUGUUGGUGGAGAAGCGGUAUCUAACCAGAAAGCCACGGCUAACUACGUGCCAGCAGCCGCGGUAAUUC
rnacentral:rRNA from 1 species